rnacentral:rRNA from 1 species
AUGGCAAUGGAGGGACCAAUUCUGUGUCGCCCUAUAAUGCAAACAAGGCUUCCUGCUGCCCUUGUCAACAACUCAUUGAUCAAAUCUGGGCAGCUUGGCACUGCAUUCUUGGGUGCUGUGUCUAAAUACUGCAACAUUACUAGACUAGUUUCUCCAAUCUUUCAGUCAUCUUCAAAGAACUUUGGUCCUAUUUGUCGUAGCUUAAGCUCCUCAUCUGAUGGUAAUGGAUACAUGGCUGGAAACUUCAAUGAAAAUGAUGAAGAUUAUGUUAAUUCCACU